GACGAACGCUGGCGGCGGGCUUAACACAUGCAAGUCGAACGGAAAGGCCCUGCUUUUGGGGGGUGCUCGAGUGGCGAACGGGUGAGGAACACGUGAGUAACCUGCCCUUGACGUUGGGAUAACUUCAGGAAACUGGGGCUAAUACCGGGUAGGAGCUCCUGCUGCAUGGGGGGGGUGGGAAAGUUUCGGCGGUUGGGGAUGGACUCGCGGCUUAUCAGCUUGUUGGUGGGGUAGUGGUUUACCAAGGCUUUGACGGGUAGCCGGCCUGAGAGGGUGACCUGCCACAUUGGGACUGAGCUACGGCCCAGACUACUCCGGGAGGCAGCAGUGGGGAAUAUUGCCUAAUGGGCUGAAGCCUGAUGCAGCACAGCCGCGCGCGGGAUAACGGCAUUCGGGUUGUAAUCCGCUUUCGCCUGUGACGAAGCGUGAGUGACGGUAAUGGGUAAAGAAGCACCGGCUAACUACGUG
rnacentral:rRNA from 1 species